rnacentral:rRNA from 1 species
UACGAAGGGGGCUAGCGUUGCUCGGAAUCACUGGGCGUAAAGCGCACGUAGGCGGGUCUUUAAGUCAGGGGUGAAAUCCUGGAGCUCAACUCCAGAACUGCCUUUGAGACUGAGUGGCUUGAGUACGGGAGAGGUGAGUGGAAUUCCCAGUGUAGAGGUGAAAUUCGUAGAUAUUGGGAAGAACACCGGUGGCGAAGGCGGCUCACUGGCCCGUAACUGACGCUCAUGCACGACAGCGUGGGGAUCAAACAGG